rnacentral:rRNA from 1 species
GAUGAACGCUGGCGGCGUGCCUAAUACAUGCAAGUCGAGCGAACGGACGAAAAGCUUGCUUUUCUGAUGUUAGCGGCGGACGGGUGAGUAACACGUGGAUAACCUACCUAUAAGACUGGGAUAACUUCGGGAAACCGGAGCUAAUACCGGAUAAUAUUUUGAACCGCAUGGUUCAAAAGUGAAAGACGGUCUUGCUGUCACUUAUAGAUGGAUCCGCGCUGCAUUAGCUAGUUGGUAAGGUAACGGCUUACCAAGGCAACGAUGCAUAGCCGACCUGAGAGGGUGAUCGGCCACACUGGAACUGAGACACGGUCCAGACUCCUACGGGAGGCAGCAGUAGGGAAUCUUCCGCAAAGGGCGAAAGCCUGACGGAGCAACGCCGCGUGAGUGAUGAAGGUCUUCGGAUCGUAAAACUCUGUUAUUAGGGAAGAACAUAUGUGUAAGUAACUGUGCACAUCUUGACGGUACCUAAUCAGAAAGCCACGGCUAACUACGUG